AUUCUAUGAGAUAGGCCUAUCAAUAUCCUCAUUUUACAGAUGGGGAAACUGAAGCAUAGAGAGGCCAAGUGACUUGCAGCAGGUGACGCAAGUUGGUAGUGAGGGGAGGGGUUGGAGAGAAAGCAGCAGACGUCAGAGAUGCCUAGGACUGCGGAGGAAGCACUGGCUGCUAGACUGGAGCGUCUGGCUGGGUGACUGGUGGGAGGUGACGCCCUGAGGAUGUGGGGCACCUGAGGGAGGAGCAGCUCUCCUGGGCAGAGGCACUGGUGAGCAGUGUGACACCUCCCUGGUAAGAACUGCUUUAUUGAAAUGGAGCACUUGAGUUUCUGGCUCUUCUUCAAAGAGGCAGCACAGAGUGGUUGCCAAGCAUGUGGGUCCUGAGCUGUGUGACUUUGGACCACUCAGCCUCUCUGUGCUUUCGUCUUCUUAUCAGCGAGUUAGGAAACGUAAUGACAGCUCCUCCCUGAAGGGCGCCUAGGAAUGAAAUGAGAUGAGCUUUGUCUGGUGCCAGCACCUGGAACAUGCUCAAAAUAUGUUAACAAGGAAGAGAAGGGCUCAAGCCUGGAGAGAUGAGCAGCAUCAGAGAGCCAGCUCAGCAAGGACCUCGCAACUGCAGCCUGCCAGAGUCCUCUGUACAUGGAAUUUUCCAGGUCCUCCAAAGCUGGGCAGCCAGAGCAUCUUGGUUUCCUUCACGUGACUUCUUAUCCUCCCAAAGGACCUCCUCUUCCAAGAGAAUCAGGGUUGCUUGGCGACUGGAAGCUUGGAACUACUGGGGACCAUCUUUGCAAUCUUAAGAGAAAGGCUGAGAAGGAAACAGUGACAGUGGACAGAAGAGCCAAGAGAUGGAGAGAGCGAGCGAGAGUCUCAUGGCAGCAUUGGGACUCCUGGAUCCAGCCAUGCCUUAAGUCCUUCCCACAGUCAUUCCAAUCAUGUAAAGCCUCUUUGAUGUAAGUUUCUAUCCCUUGUAACCAAGAGAUAUUGUAAUCUGACAAUGCUAUACAGCUUAUUUGGAUCAUGAUGAGGAUUAAAUGUGCUAUGAUAUAUGAAACAUGGGGCUCCUAGGGGGCCCACUAGAGGUCUGCUUUCAGGAAUGUUUCUUCCCCUCUCCCUGACGGAACACAGUUCCAACUUAAAAUCUACUAAAAGCACUAAACAAUUUAGAACAGGCGUGGAUGGCUUUCGCUGGUUGUAGAACAAUAAACUCACAGAACCCAAAUUUUACAUCACCCGCCUGUACUCUUGACACCCUGUAUUCUUAAUUUAAAUUCUGAGAAGGCAGGCGAAAAGCGAUUGCUUUAAAUAAACCAUGUGAAAUGGGGCAAAAA